UGCGAUGUCCCAGAUGUGGAACUCAGCACUGUUCCUUGGUCCCUGUGGUCCUAUUUCCCCAUCACUUAGGUAAGACCUGAGGCUCAGAGGGACCAAGUUGCAUGUCUGAGCUUGUACAGUGAGCUAGUGGUGGUUUCCUCUGGAAGGGCGCGUCCUGGUUGAUCAGGCCCUGAGUGGCCCUGCUGGUGUUCUUCACUCUAUGCCUGCAGGACCCAAGAUGACAUUUAUCCAAGGGAGUGUAAAAUAGAGUCAGAGAAGCACUGGUAUGAGGAGUUUGGAGCCCUCAUUCCAUUCAUUCCCUGAGUUCUAGGAGCCUCCUCUGUUCCUCCAGAAGCCAAAAGACAGGGCAGGAAGACAAAAUCUUUCCGCAACUCCUCACCAUUCUCUGUUGUGCCCACAAUCUCCGGUUCCACCCUCACUGUAAAAUCACGUCUCCAUCCGCCUGCUUGAUCUUUCAGCCAGCCGCUCCUCAGCUGGAGAAUGGGAAAUAAUGGGCUGUGCCAGCAAGCCACACUCCAAGGGCAGAGUGCUCAGUGAACCUGUUCAAAGUGUGGCCUGGGCAGCUGCCUGAGGGUCACCCGGGCCAUGAAAAGGCAGGCCCCUGGGUCCUACCCACAUCUUCUGAAUCUUUAGAAGGGCAUUGACAAAUGCUCUACUGAUUUUUAAGUAUUCCUGGAUUAAGAUAUUUUUUCUUUAAAUUGUCCAUCUUUUACUCUAUUUUAUCUUGAAAAAAAUCAAACCCAGGACAAAGUUGAAAGAAUGCUGCUAUGAACACCAAUAUAUCCUUCCCUUGGAUUUACCAGUUGUCAAUGUUUUGCCACAAUUCCUCUGGAAGUGUUAGACAUCAUUAUAUUUAAUCUCUGAAUACAUUAGCAUGUAACUCCAAAGAACAAGGACAUUUUCCUACAUAACCACAGUAGGAUUAGCCCACUGAAGACAUUUAACAUCGAUUUGCCUUUAUUUGUGUAAAAAAAUUUUGUAACUAACAAAAAAGAAAUUUAACACUGAUAUAACAGUAUUAUCUAAUACACAGCCCAUAUUCAAAUUCCCUCAAUUGCCCCAAUAACAUUCU
rnacentral:lncRNA from 1 species